GGAGGAAAAGAAACUAACAAGGAUUCCCCUAGUAACUGCGAGUGAAGCGGGAAAAGCUCAAAUUUAAAAUCUGGUGGUCUUAGGCCGUCCGAGUUGUAAUUUAGAGAAGCGUCUUCCGCGCCGGACCGUGCACAAGUCUCCUGGAAUGGAGCGUCAUAGAGGGUGAGAAUCCCGUCUUUGGCACGGAUGCCUGGUGCUUCUGUGAUGCGCUCUCGAAGAGUCGAGUUGUUUGGGAAUGCAGCUCAAAAUGGGUGGUGAACUCCAUCUAAAGCUAAAUAUUGGCGAGAGACCGAUAGCGAACAAGUACCGUGAGGGAAAGAUGAAAAGCACUUUGGAAAGAGAGUGAAACAGUACGUGAAAUUGUUGAAAGGGAAACGCUUGAAGUCAGUCGCGUCGACCGAGACUCAGCCUUGCCUCGGCUUGGUGUACUUCUCGGCCCGACGGGUCAGCGUCAAUUUUGCCCCUCGGAUAAUGGCAAGGGAAAGGUGGCACCUUUACGGGUGUGUUAUAGUCUCCUGUCGCAUGCGAGGGGUGGGAUUGAGGAACUCAGCGCGCACCUUGGUGUCGGGGCUUCGGCCCACGUCACGCGCUUAGGAUGCUGGCGUAAUGGCUUUAAACGACCCGUCUUGAAACACGGACCAAGGAGUCCAACACGCCCGCGAGUGUUCGGGUGGAAAACCCGUGCGCGUAAUGAAAGUGAAAGUUGGGACCUCUGUCGUGGAGGGCACCGACGCCCGGACCAGACCUUCUGUGACGGAUCUGCGGUAGAGCGUGUGUGUUGGGACCCGAAAGAUGGUGAACUAUGCCUGAAUAGGGUGAAGCCAGAGGAAACUCUGGUGGAGGCUCGUAGCGAUUCUGACGUGCAAAUCGAUCGUCAAAUUUGGGUAUAGGGGCGAAAGACUAAUCGAACCAUCUAGUAGCUGGUC
rnacentral:rRNA from 1 species